UUGGGCAUCGAGCUUAAUCUCCCAACCCAUGUGAACGUUACCAAACUGUUGCCUCGGCGGGGUCACGCCCCGGGUGCGUCGCAGCCCCGGAACCAGGCGCCCGCCGGAGGAACCAACCAAACUCUUUCUGUAGUCCCCUCGCGGACGUAUUUCUUUACAGCUCUGAGCAAAAAUUCAAAAUGAAUCAAAACUUUCAACAACGGAUCUCUUGGUUCUGGCAUCGAUGAAGAACGCAGCGAAAUGCGAUAAGUAAUGUGAAUUGCAGAAUUCAGUGAAUCAUCGAAUCUUUGAACGCACAUUGCGCCCGCCAGUAUUCUGGCGGGCAUGCCUGUCCGAGCGUCAUUUCAACCCUCGAACCCCUCCGGGGGAUCGGCGUUGGGGAUCGGGACCCCUCACACGGGUGCCGGCCCCUAAAUACAGUGGCGGUCUCGCCGCAGCCUCUCCUGCGCAGUAGUUUGCACAACUCGCACCGGGAGCGCGGCGCGUCCACGUCCGUAAAACACCCAACUUUCUGAAAUGUUGACCUCGGAUCAGGUAGGAAUACCCGCUGAACUUAAGCAUAUCAAUAGGCCGGGAGGAA
rnacentral:rRNA from 1 species